rnacentral:lncRNA from 1 species
AUCCCUGCAGUUUGUAAAUAUGGUACUGGAACUGACCCUGUAUAUAGUAUGCUCUAUCACUCCAGUAUCCCUGCAGUUUGUAAAUAUGCUACUGGAACUGACCCUGUAUAUAGUAUGCUCUAUCACUCCAGUAUCCCUGCAGUUUGUAAAUAUGCUACUGGAACUGACCCUGUAUAUAGUAUGCUCUAUCACUCCAGUAUCCCUGCAGUUUGUAAAUAUGCUACUGGAACUGACCCUGUAUAUAGUAUGCUCUAUCACUCCAGUAUCCCUGCAGUUUGUAAAUAUGCUACUGGAACUGACCCUGUAUAUAGUAUGCUCUAUCACUCCAGUAUCCCUGCAGUUUGUAAAUAUGCUACUGGAACUGACCCUGUAUAUAGUAUGCUCUAUCACUCCAGUAUCCCUGCAGUUUGUAAAUAUGCUACUGGAACUGACCCUGUAUAUAGUAUGCUCUAUCACUCCAGUAUCCCUGCAGUUUGUAAAUAUGCUACUGGAACUGACCCUGUAUAUAGUAUGCUCUAUCACUCCAGUAUCCCUGCAGUUUGUAAAUAUGCUACUGGAACUGACCCUGUAUAUAGUAUGCUCUAUCACUCCAGUAUCCCUGCAGUUUGUAAAUAUGCUACUGGAACUGACCCUGUAUAUAGUAUGCUCUAUCACUCCAGUAUCCCUGCAGUUUGUAAAUAUGCUACUGGAACUGACCCUGUAUAUAGUAUGCUCUAUCACUCCAGUAUCCCUGCAGUUUGUAAAUAUGCUACUGGAACUGACCCUGUAUAUAGUAUGCUCUAUCACUCCAGUAUCCCUGCAGUUUGUAAAUAUGCUACUGGAACUGACCCUGUAUAUAGUAUGCUCUAUCACUCCAGUAUCCCUGCAGUUUGUAAAUAUGCUACUGGAACUGACCCUGUAUAUAGUAUGCUCUAUCACUCCAGUAUCCCUGCAGUUUGUAAAUAUGCUACUGGAACUGACCCUGUAUAUAGUAUGCUCUAUCACUCCAGUAUCCCUGCAGUUUGUAAAUAUGCUACUGGAACUGACCCUGUAUAUAGUAUGCUCUAUCACUCCAGUAUCCCUGCAGUUUGUAAAUAUGCUACUGGAACUGACCCUGUAUAUAGUAUGCUCUAUCACUCCAGUAUCCCUGCAGUUUGUAAAUAUGCUACUGGAACUGACCCUGUAUAUAGUAUGCUUACUUACUUUAUCCUGUUCUUCUUAUUUUGUAUUUUUAUUUCUCGUGUGUUUUUGUAUUGUAAUGUUUUUAGUACUACGUUGAUAUCGAUUAUUGCAUUGUUGGGUUUAGAGCUGGCAGGGAAGGCAUUUCACUGUACUUGUGCACGUGACAU